AGUGAUCGCGAUGAAGAUAGAUAAGCUCCCUCUUCUGAAAUUUCAAAUUGAGGAAACUGGCUGGCUGAAUCGAACCUUAAAUCUUAUCGCCACCACUGAGCGA